GGGAGAUAAAGCAUUAGUGAGGUCUGGAUGCUGUGAGCACUGGCCAGUAUUCCAAGCCCUCUGUGGCUCCAGAAUAGCACUCCAUUGGCACAAAAAAACCCUGCUAUGCCCAGUAUAAGGAGCUAUGUCCAGUAUAAGGAGCUCUGUCCAGUAUAAGGAGCUCUGUCCAGUAUAAGAAGCUCUGCCCAGUAAGUAUAAGGAGCUAUGCCC